AAAGAGACUUCAGCAAUGAGGAAGUCCAGCUCCCAGUUGUUUGAAAUUGGAAACUGAGCUCCAGAGAGAUUAAGAUAAAGUGUCCAUUUUUACACAGGAAGUUAUCAAAAGAGCCACGGUCAAAUCUGGGUCUUCUGAUACUUAAAGCUGUGCUCUUCCUAAUACUAAAUGCUGCCUCCUUUGAGGCAUUUAAAUCUCUGUAAUCUAGAUCCAUUUCUAUGCCAACAUCGGUAAAUCACAAAUGAUUAGAAAAAAGGUGGCAGACUCAAACACCAACUCAUGCUUUUUAAUUUGAGUGGUUUUCUAGGUUCAUCUGAAAUAAAACAAAACAAUAUUUUUUAAAACUCCUUCCUGUUUACAAAAUUGAGAAUUCCUUCUUGACACUGGUGUUCAUGUUCUAUGUACUUUCCAAAUACGGAGAUCCUAAAAUACGGGCUGGCUGAACUUUUAAAUAUAAAGAAAGUCUUGCAGUUGAGAAUACUCUCCAACCAAAUGAGUUCAGUCUGCUUUCUGCUUCUGAGAUCUGGGUCUAAGGGGAUUAUUUUCAAAGAUGAGCAGGAGACUAAAGAGAAAGACAGGCUUCCUGUUACCUACCUUGAGUUUGAGAGUCUUGAAAACCUUGUGUGUAGCAUUGCAAAGCUGCCCUGGAACAUGAAAAAUACAGCCUCUUCUCACCAGUGCUGAAGGAGGCUUCUUCCGACUCCAGCUUGAAUGUUUCUCAAGACGGUCAGUUAAGUGAAACCAUCUUUUCCAAAAGCUUGAGUAAACCUGAGAACCUCCCCACCAAUGAAUUAGGUAGGAGGAAAGCGGGCCCCAGUGGCGAGUAUCAUGAAAAGAUUCAGUUCUCAGACUUGGCUGCUUAUUGGAAUUAUUUGAAGAGCUUUAAAAGUACUAGCUGCCCAUAAAGGUUGCAGAUAUUCAGUGCUAUUAUAGGAAUUUUCAUGAAUACGUUUGAAAAUCCUGAUCUAUGGAUUGAAUUCCUGUUUUGAUUAAUUGAUUUGUAAACCUCUGUCCCUUUUGUGACUCUGUUCUGCCUUUUGGGAUUGGAGUUUCAUUGUUUACCCAGAUGCACAGAUACUUCCUGGUGAGUUAGAAUGCAUUUCCUCUACUAUAACAUUUCUCAACCCUGCACAUUGAGAAUCAUUUGGGGAGAUUAAGAUGAAAAAAAAAAAAAAAAAACUGGUGGGAAUUGGUCAGGGGUUGAACCAGGGCUUAAGCAUUUUUGUAAACCUCCCCAUAGUAGCCAGCCUCCAAGAUGGCCCCCACUGGACCCACCUGUUUGUACUUGCAUCUUCAUUUAGCACUCCCACUCCCACAUGGUGCCAAGGCUGUUCUACAUGACCAAUAAAAUAGUGCAGACGUGAUGAUAUGAUUAGGUUAUAAAAGACACUGCAGUUUCCAUCUUAAUGUUCUACCUCCCUCUCAGAUCAUUUGCUUUGGAAAAGCCAACUGCCAAGUCAUAAGCAGCCCUGUGGCGAACCCUACAUGGUGUGGAACUGAGACCUUGUGCCAACAGCCAGAUCUACUGCUCUCUACCCUUCUCCAUCCUGCCCCAUGCCUUAGACGGCUGAUGACAUCAUGGACUCUCAUGCCCUCUGACUUUCAGCUGGCUGUAUGCAAAGGGAGACACUGGCAGGAGAUCAGAAGUUUCUGUGGGUCAGAAGUCUGGGCACAGCUUCCCUGGGUGUUUCUGACUCAAGGUCUCUCACGAAAGGCAGUCAAGCUGAUGACCUGAGCUGCAACCUCAUCUGGAUGCCCGUCUGGGGAGACACCAUCUGUUUUGAAGCUCACUCACAUGGUUGUCGGCAGGCCUUGGUCACUCACCAUGUGGGCCACUCCACAGGGCUGCCUCACAACACGGCAGCUGCCUUCCCCCACGACAAGUGACCCAAGAGACUGUGAGAGAGGACACAUUCAAGGUGAAAGGCAGUCAUUUUAUAACCUAAUCUCAGAUGUGUCAUUUCAUCACUUCUGCCAUAUUCUAUUCAUCAAAAGUGAGACAAGAAGUCCAGCCACACUCAAGGAGAGGGGAUUACCCAAGAGCGGGAACCACAGAAGAUUAGCCCUGAGCUAACUCCUGCCAAUCCUCCUCUUUUUGCUGAGGAAGGCCGGCCCUGAGCUAACAUCCGUGCCCAUCUUCCUCUACUUUAUACGUGGGACGCCUAGCGCAGCAUGGCAUGCCAAGUGGUGCCACGUCCGCACCCGGGAUCCCAACCGGCGAACCCCGGGACACCGAGAAGCUGAACGAACGUGUGAACUUGACUGCUGCGCCACUGGACUGGCCCCCAAUGGAGAGAUAUUUUAAUUGUGAUUCCUUAAUUAUACAAGGCAAAUAGGAAUUUUGGAAGUGAUGAUUCUCCAAAUGGAGAAAUUUUUAAUUUAUCAGAGCAUGA
rnacentral:lncRNA from 1 species